UGAAAAUACUAGUUCCUAUACAAUCACUGAAGUUAAACAACAUUGAGACUUGUCAGUACUUAGAUGGGUGACUACUUGGGAAGACCAGCUGCUGUAAG